rnacentral:tRNA from 1 species
GCCCAGCUAGCUCAGUUGGUAGAGCAUGAGACUCUUUAUCUCAGGGUUGUGGGUUUGUGCCCUACAUUGGGCA